rnacentral:lncRNA from 1 species
AAGAAAAACAUUAAGAAAAAGAGAAGACAACAAGGAGAAGAAAAAAAAAUAAAGCAAAAAAAAAAGGGAUUAGAGAAAAAGAAACAGAAAGGAAAGAUAAGAAAAACAAGAGAAAAUCAGUGUUUUAGUUUAAGAAAAACUAAAGGAAAAAGAAUGGCGACUUGACUUGAGUUCAAGUUCGGGUUUCGUUCGAGUUACUGG